rnacentral:rRNA from 1 species
GACGAACCGUGCGAACGUUAUUCGGAAUCACUGGGCUUAAAGGGCGCGUAGGCGGGUCCGUAAGUCAGGGGUGAAAUCCCACGGCCCAACCGUGGAAGUGCCUCUGAUACUGCGGGCCUCGAGGGGGAUAGGGGCGUGCGGAACUCAGGGUGGAGCGGUGAAAUGCGUAGAUAUCCUGAGGAACACCGGUGGCGAAGGCGGGUCUCUGGGCCGAUACUGACGCUGAGGAGCGAAAGCGUGGGGAGCGAACAGG